rnacentral:rRNA from 1 species
AUUGAACGCUGGCGGCAGGCCUAACACAUGCAAGUCGAGCGGAGCGGCGGACGGGUGAGUAAUGCCUAGGAAUCUGCCUGGUAGUGGUGGAUAACGUCCGGAAACGGGCGCUAAUACCGCAUACUAUCAGAAGAGCCUAGUUCGGAUUAGCUAGUUGGUGGGGUAAAGGACUACCCAGGCGACGUUCCGUAACUGGUCUGAGAGGAUGAUCAGUCACACUGGAACUGAGACACGGUCCAGACUCCUACGGGAGGCAGCAGUGGGGAAUAUUGGACAAUGGGCGAAAGCCUGAUCCAGCCAUGCCGCGUGUAUGAAGAAGGUCUUCGGAUUGUAAAGCACUUUAAGUUGGGAGGCGUUACCCGCAGAAGAAGCACCGGCUAACUCCGUGCCAGCCGCCGCGGUAAUAC